rnacentral:piRNA from 1 species
AGGAACAAUAUACUUUGCAGG